GACGAACGCUGGCGGCGUGCUUAACACAUGCAAGUCGAACGGAAAGGCCCUGCUUUUGUGGGGUGCUCGAGUGGCGAACGGGUGAGUAACACGUGAGUAACCUGCCCUUGACUUUGGGAUAACUUCAGGAAACUGGGGCUAAUACCGGAUAGGAGCUCCUGCUGCAUGGUGGGCGUUGGAAAGUUUCGGCGGUUGGGGAUGGACUCGCGGCUUAUCAGCUUGUUGGUGGGGUAGUGGCUUACCAAGGCUUUGACGGGUAGCCGGCCUGAGAGGGUGACCGGCCACAUUGGGACUGAGAUACGGCCCAGACUCCUACGGGAGGCAGCAGUGGGGAAUAUUGCACAAUGGGCGGAAGCCUGAUGCAGCAACGCCGCGUGCGGGAUGACGGCCUUCGGGUUGUAAACCGCUUUCGCAUGUGACGAAGCGUGAGUGACGGUAAUGGGUAAAGAAGCACCGGCUAACUACGUG
rnacentral:rRNA from 1 species